rnacentral:rRNA from 1 species
UCCACGCCGUAAACGAUGAUUACUGGUUGUGAGCGAUACACAGUUCGCGACUGAGGGAAACCAUUAAGUAAUCCACCUGGGGAGUACGUUCGCAAGAAUGAAACUCAAAGGAAUUGACGGGGGCCCGCACAAGCGGAGGAACAUGUGGUUUAAUUCGAUGAUACGCGAGGAACCUUACCUGGGCUUAAAUGUAGAGUGCAUUUUUUAGAAAUAGAGAUUUCCUUCGGGACUCU